CGGCCAAACACAUCCAGGCACUGCAUUUUAAUUCCUCUGACUGCACCUGCGCUGACAGCACACUGCACAUCCUGCCUCUCUGAAAAAGGGGAACAGCAGCAUGACAAACAUCUUUACUCAGAAGCUGAAGCCAGGAGGAGUUGCAGAGCCAUGGCAUUGGUUUGAACCCAUUUCUCCCAGUGUGGUCAGAAGCAGAGACCCCAACAGCAUGUUUGUGGUUAGGAACGACAUUCCUGAUGCUAUCCCAAUGUUAGGAAGUGAUGGCUGUCUCUAACAGCAAGAGCUGAAUCAGAUUUCUGAAACUAAAAGUAAAG